rnacentral:rRNA from 1 species
GACGAACGCUGGCGGCGUGCUUAACACAUGCAAGUAGAGCGGAGCGGCGAACGGGGGAGUAACGCGUGAGUAACUGCCCCCCUCUCUGGGAUAACAGUUGGAAACGGCUGCUAAUACCGGAAAGUGGGGGAUGACUCGCGUCCUAUCAGCUUGUUGGUGGGGUAGGGGCAUACCAAGGCGACGACGGGUAGCCGGCCUGAGAGGGCGACCGGCCACAGUGGGCUGGUAAACGGCCCCAACUCCUACGGGAGGCAGCAGUGUGGAAUAUUGCACAAUAGGGGAAACCCUGAUGCAGCAGCGCCGCGUGCGGGAUGACGGCCUUCGUGUUGUAACCCGCUUUCAGCCAUGACGCGGUAGUGGCAGAAGAAGCACCGGCUAACUACGUGCCAGCCGCCGCGGUAAUUC